rnacentral:rRNA from 1 species
AUUAGAGUUUGAUCAUGGCUCAGAACGAACGCUGGCGGCGUGUUUAAGACAUGCAAGUCGAACGGACCGGAGUUGUAGCAAUACCGCUUCGGUCAGUGGCGCACGGGUGCGUAACACGUGAGUGACAUGCCCUGCAGUGGGGAAUAGCCCGCCGAAAGGCGGAUUAAUACCCCAUGGACCCGCGAGGGUAAAGGUGGCGCAAGCUGCCGCUGCAGGAUUGGCUCGCGGCCUAUCAGCUUGUUGGCGGGGUAACGGCCCACCAAGGCGACGACGGGUACCUGGUCUGAGAGGAUGAUCAGGCACACUGGAACUGAGACACGGUCCAGACACCUACGGGUGGCAGCAGUCGAGAAUAAUUCACAAUGGGGGAAACCCUGAUGGUGCAACGCCGCGUGGAGGAUGAAGGUCUUCGGAUUGUAAACUCCUGUCAUCCGGGAGUAAGACCUGGCGGUGAAGAGCCGACAGGGUUGAUAGUACCGGAAGAGGAAGGGACGGCUAACUUCGUGCCAGCAGCCGCGGUAAUAAU